UACGUAGGUGGCAAGCGUUACUCGGAAUCACUAGGCGUAAAGCGCAGGUAGGCGGUUUGAUAAGUCUGUUGUGAAAGCUCCCGGCUUAACUGGGAGAGGUCAACGGAAACUAUUAGGCUAGGGUGUGGUAGAGGUAGCUGGAAUUCCCGGUGUAGCGGUGAAAUGCGUAGAUAUCGGGAGGAAUACCUAUGGCGAAAGCAGGCUACUGGACCAUCACUGACGCUGAUCUGCGAAAGCUAGGGGAGCAAACAGG
rnacentral:rRNA from 1 species